rnacentral:rRNA from 1 species
ACCUGAUCCCAUCCCGAACUCAGAAGUGAAACGAUGCAUCGCCGAUGGUAGUGUGGGGUUUCCCCAUGUGAGAGUAGGUCAUCGUCAAGA